ACAGUCAGAAUCUUGAAAAAGUAAAGCUCUUUGUGAAAAAUACAAUUGGUCUUUCUUUAAAAUCAUGUAACUCAUACAUUUAAUUUUCCCACCAGAGUCAUUCCUAAUACAUCCCAAGAGUUCUGUAUGUAAGAACAUUGGUUCUGAUGACCUAGGGAGGUGGUACAGUGAGAACUGAUAAAUCCGUACUAAGGCUAAAUGUCUCCUACAGUUUUAGGUGUGGAGCUGUUUAUGUGGCUACUUGCACAUGACAAAUUACUGACAUAAGUUUCAUUAAACCAUUAGCACCCAUAAUAAUACAAUUAAAAAUACUAGGUAGUAAUUAGAGAGUCACACAUGACAGGGCUUGAAGGAAUUUUAUGAGGACAUAUAAAGUCCAUAUCUCUCUUGCAAGGUUGCACCAAGUACAUCCACUACAAUCUGGGUAAUAAACAUAAGAAAAUAAAGUUUAAUGGCUAAAACUGGGAAGAUGAGCAGUUCAAGUUUAAUGCGUAUUUCAGUAGCAAAGAAUUUGAUUUCUGUAAGCUUCAGUUUAACAGUCCAGUAACAAAUUGGGUUUAUGGACAACAAUACAAUAGGAAGAUUUCCAUUCAGUUUGCUAAGUGUGGCAGACCGAGUUCACUGGGAUCUGACCAAAAUGUGAUCUACCAUUUUACUUGCCGGAAUUUCCAGUUACUAAUAUACAUCUUCUCAAACCAGCCCCUGUUCUUGACUUGUGCAAAUUACUCCCUCUUGCCAUAAAUUCUGCUCUGGAUAUGGGCUAGGCUUUGCUGUUGACAAGAGACUAUCCAGACGUGGAAAGUAAAUCAAUGGAAAACCAACAUCAGACUUACUUUCUGAACUGGGGGCAUCCAGAAACUACGGCUCCAAGGCUGCAAUAAACAGCUCAUGCGCAUAGAUAAAUAAAUUUAUAUUUAUUGAUAACACACAUUAUCUCCUAACCUGCAACCUUACCCAGGCAACAGAUCUUGCUCUUCAGCAACAUUUUCAGAACAGUCUGUGCAUGUUUUGUACAGACGCUGGUGGCAUAACUGGUAAAUCAGGGACAGUGUAAAAUACAAAUAUUAAAAUUGGCCAAUAAAUAAGAAAACAAAUGUGACAAUACACUAUGCAAAAAUGCAUAGUUUGAUUGGGAAUUUCUGUUCCAGGCUUUGUAUUUCUAGAGUUCCCAGAGUACAGCAGAAACAAAGCAAGUUAACAGAAACUUUAAUCCAGCUUGUCCAGGUGUAUUAAUAACUCCAUAUCAAGAUAUAAAUAUAUUUAUAUAUAUGUAUGAAAUUAAAUUGAUUUGGGGGUCUUCCCACAGUAUGCUUUAAGAGCAUAAUACUUCUCAUUAUUUCAUGGUCACAGAAGUUCUACAGAAGCACAGAGCAGUCAUUGCAUGUCACGCUGGGCUGAACUGCAGAAAUCAGAAAUGCUUAAAACCAAAUUGACCAAGGUCAAUUUAUAGGGAAUACUUCAGAGCUGUCCUAAAGGAAUUUUCUGUAUCAUAAAGCCACUGUGAUUUGUUUGUCAAGAUUUUGUAAUUAGCAGUAAUACUGCAGUUGCAUUAAAAAUAAGUAUUAAAAAAGC